rnacentral:tRNA from 1 species
AGAAACUUAGGAUAGUAUAAACCGAAGGCCUUCAAAGCCUUAGACAAGAGUUAGAUCCUCUUAGUUUCUG